GCCUGGGUGGCUCAGUCGGUUGAGCGUCCGACUUUGGCUCAGGUCACGAUCUCACGGUUCGUGAGUUCAAGCCCCGCAUCAGGCU
rnacentral:tRNA from 1 species